CGUGGGUGGGGCGGGGGAUUCUAGGGGCCGCUCCACCAUGUUAGAGCAGGGGGAUUCGCGGGGCAGUGCAGUGCGGUGCCACGGCUGCACCUAGUGCUAACUAACCCAUCAGGCUUUCCAGAGUAGGGGCUUGGUUUAAAUGUUAUGAAACGCUAAAAGUCUGCUCCUUUUGGGACUAAUGGUACUCGUCUGACCCUGGAGGCUUGUCUCUUGACACAGUUAUUUCAACAAUUGCAAGGGCUGCAAAGUUACAGUAACAUGCUGAAGGACAGCCAACAUGGUUUAAUGUCUGACCAAUCUCAUCUUCCUUGGAGACAAUCCCCAACCCUGGAAGUCUGCAAGAGACUCGCCAGACACCUUGCUGGGGUUGGACUCCAUGAUCUUUCAAGGUCCCUUCCAGCCCUUGAUUUCUAUGAUGUCUAUGAUGAUAUGGCACUUCUCACUCGAAGGUGUCUUGAGACAAUUGCAACUAGAGACUAGAGAGAGGAGACUAAAGAGUUACUGGAGCUGUGACAGGCUGACAGCACAGCUUACAGUGUCUCCUGGCACUUGCUCCUUUUGUGACGAGAGGGGGACCCUGGCAUACUUAUCUAUCUGGAGUCAGCUGAGCUGAAGUUCCUACUUUGGCUUCUCAAGAACCUCUUGGUAAGGUUCUGGUUGUCUCUUUCUGUGCACCUCCUGAUUUACUCCCUCCUCAUCUGUGGCCCCAUAGAGCUUUGAGACAUACUUCCUCCUGGCAUUGGCCAUAAGGACCAUCGGACCAAACAAGGAACCUUGACAGGGGAUGCUGUGAUACUUUCUCCUGUAGUGGCUGUUCGUGGCCAUAGCACAUUUCUGCACAAAGAGUCUGGAGAUGGGAGACUUGUUUAUACUGGGAAUUUGGCAAAGGUUGUUUUAGUGGCUCUCAAGGAAGAGAAUUGAUUUGUAGAUCAUCAGAUAUAGAACUAUCAUACUCCAUUUGUGAUUCUAUGAAACACAAUUUCUUCUUUAACAUAACCCCUUGCUCCCUCAUUGGGAAACCACAUUGGGAAGGUUCUAUCUAUUGGAUUCCAAGGAGUGACAUCAUCUUUUUAAAGAUAAAUCUGAGCUUAUGGUAUCAUGAUGCAAAGGCAUUAGAGUGGAAACAAAUUAUUUGCACUGGAAUUGAUGAUGACUAUUCAUUUUGUGGCACUUUGAAAGGAGAAACGAUCAAUACAACAUUUAACAUUCGAGGUUUAACCAUGGAAUUGGAGAAGGGAGAAUAUACAAUUCUGCUAAGAGGAUUCCCUAAUUAUUUUGAGGAAAACUUGCUCUUGUGUUUGAAUUUAACCAUGCUACAUAAAUGAGAGGUUUAAGGUAUUUAUGAAUGUCAAGAUUAUUUCAGAUCACUUCAGGAUUACAGAAGCAAGGAACUGGACAGAACAAGCAAGUCAGUAGGAUUCGACCAGUGAAAUAAUAGCACCAUUCAUUUUUCUUGGAUAGGAGUACAAGAUAAAUUGUAUGCAGUGCUAUAUGGAACAUGGAUAGUUUCAUCUGUUCGUAUCAUUCCUGUAAUCAAAUGUUCAGUUAGUUUGGGCAAAAUCUCUGUGAAUAUUAAGUACGCUGAUUAAUGCACAGAAUGAAUCCUAAAUGGUUUUAUAGUAACAAAUGCAUUUCUGUGGUACCUCCUGUGUUAUCAAGAAUGAGUGUUUCAGGUUGUGAUAAGCUAUGACGGCAAUUUUUGACAGCACUUGGUAUGAAACAAAAUACUUUAUGGCUCCAGAAUCCUUGUUUUCCAUCUUCCCUAUUAGUUUUUCUGUUAAAUCAACUGAGAUAGUGUUUUUGUUCUCUUGAUUCCCUCACCCUAUUUCUAAUAAUUAAUCCUCAUCAGGUGCUCUUGUCUGCUCCAUCACACACAAUAGUGAACUUGCCAAGCCAUGAGUUAUGGGUUCUUUAGUUAUAUGGCAUCAAUUGUUGGAGUUAGCAUCCAGUGGGAAGUUGUGCUCACAGCUAACAUGCUUUAGUAGAGCUGCAUUAUAUCAAUCCAGGAACAUGAGUACGAGACCCACAAGGGGUUUCUGUAGGCUUGCUUAUGGUCCCAACUCCUGUGUGGGUUAUGGUGGCAAAGGUUAUCCGAACAAUCUUCCUGAGUAUCAGCUGAUCUGCCUUGAAUGUUUUGGUGGGCCACAGAUUUUUCAGAGUCUAUAAACAGAUGUCACAAAGUGAAGCAGAACUGUGCCAGGAUGUGUCUCGGCACAGCUGAUCCACUUUAUUGAGUGAGACAGAUGUCAUUCACAUGAUCCUGGAGGGUCAGGCCCCUGCCGCUCCCAGGAGUACCAGUGGCCUGAUCCUGCAAGACAACAUUAGGAGUGCAUCUCUGCAAAUGAGAGGACCUCAGGUUUCUCAGCUUGCAAUGGCAUGUCUCAAGUUGGAUUCCCUGGACUCACUUCUGUAAAUGGGGAAACCCGGGCAGACACUCCAGGGGUUUCAGGAGCCUGAUUCUGUGCACCCUGGAAAUGCCCUUCCAGAGGGAGGCACCCAUAUAUGGUGGCACAAAGGUGACAUCUGUUGCAGCCUGCUUCCAAGUACUGUAGUUCCAAGCAGAGAGAGAGAGAGAGUGUGUGUGUGUGUGUGUGGUGAAGAGACGUAAUGUCAUCUUCACACUUUUUGUUUUGAUGCAAGUGGUUGGCCAGAAAUCUUUUUCUGUCUAGCCAGAGAGCAAUAGAAGAGGCAGGAGGGGGGAAGCCUUGAUUCAGUGAAUGCAGUAUGAAGCUAUGACCUUCUUCCUUUCUGAUUCAUCAGGGAAUAACUUUGGCAGCCCAAGUUCUCCUCUGUUGCUCUGAUGGAGGAAGGAGACCAUUAUCUGCAAGAGCAGUAACCAGCUGCAUUGGCAGGCAGACCUCCAGUCUCUGACCUAGAGUCCCUGUAGAAUGAGACAAGGUAAAAGUAGCUUAUCCUAUAGGCACCAGCAAUUUCAGUUCCUCUGUUCCUCCAGCUAUGAUUCCAGUAGGUUGCUGGUGCUUUGACUAUUAUUCCCUGCACCUUCUUCCUGGUAGUUACUGCCAGGACCUUUCAGUCCUUGGUAUGGAGCCACGAUGAAGUUAAGGUUUGGGCAGCAGCAUGCUAUUGUUUUCUCCUUCCAACUCGCUCUUGCAGGAACAGGGAGUAUCUUACAGCCGCCUCUUUGUCUGUAAUAUAAUGUAGACAUAACAGAGCUACUUUAAACUAGUUAACUUAGUAAUUGGUAGAAGUCCAGUCACAGCAGCAGGGAGCUCAGCACCGGCUAUGAAAUGCACCCAAAAAUCAUGGUAGAUACUUGGGCAGCUGGUGACUGUAAUGUAGGCCAAAUCCAGGGGUUUGUUUUUUUCCACAUACUUCUCUCAACUGUUGCAAUUAUGACUACAGCAGAGGUGGCCAAACUGUGGCAUGGGUACCACAAGUGGCAUGUGGCAGAUCAGGGAGGGGCAGGUAGCACAGUGGCAGAUAGGGCAGAGAGCAGAACAUCAGCUUAGACAGGGAGCACAAGGCAGAAAGCAGAAAGCUGAGCAGCAGGUCAGGUAAAGGACAGGGAUUGGAGUUGUACUUGGGGAGGGUGCAAGGCUAAUUUGUAGCACACCAGCAUACCUGCCAAAAAGGUAGGCCCCCACUAUUCUAAAAAAAAUAUCUUGCUGCCUUUAUUUUUUACAAUAAUUUUGAUUUAAAUCUUUCAAUUUUACUUGGAAACUCCUAAGCUCCAUCAACUCUGAUAGAACUUUGCUGGAGCAAGGAUUAUAGGAUUUUGUUUACCGGGGACAUAGUUCACCUUUAGCUAACCCUAAAUUAAAAGCUGUUGUACAGUUUUUCAUUACUUAAGGGAUGAUCAAGAAUACUGUCUCAAAGUACAUUAGGUGUUCAAGGUUCCUUUCUGCGCAGCUGAACAUCAGGGCAGGCCUCUUUUGUACUAGAUUUUCAGUUGUGUUUUGUGAUGAUGAGUUAAUGUUUUAAUACCUACCACAUAGAACAAUAAAAAAUACAGCAGAAAAAUUCUGUUAUGUUCAGUAGCCACUAGGUUGUGCUGUAUCUCAAAGAUUACUUCAGAAGUGCCAUUCUUUCUAUUUCUUAUUGCUUCCUGACUGCCAAGCUUUCAGGAGAGACCUGCAGAAUUAAAUGUUUUACUUUCAUUUUCCAUGUAGAGGCCAAUUUUUCAGAUGGGGUGCCAACACAUGUAAGUUUUUAAUUUAAAGCACUCUGUUCAAAAGUCAGGGCCCAGGAAAUGUUAAGAAAUCUGGAACAAAAGUCACAAAUCGCUGAUGGACAGCAUAGCAAACAGAACGAGGAACUAAAGACAGCAAGCAACCAUAAUUACAUCAAAGCUGUAAUGACAGUAUUUGUGCUUCCAUUAAAUUCUACACAUUCUAACAAGUGUGCAAGCAGUUCCUGUUCUAAGUCUGAAUGGAGCUAUUGAAAAGUUAAUUUGAUCCCUUUAAUGUUAUACUGUUAACAAAAAAAGAAAGUUGCAAAACUUGAUUAUUAAUUUCCACCUUGCUACCUAUGUUUAUACUAAUUUUGAACAGGUCUCUGUGAACUUUUCUAGUUACUAUGUGAAAUCUCAUACCAAAGUCAAAAAAAUUUCUGUGAUUGUUGUGCCCAAACCUGUUUUGAGGAUUACUUUUAGUGUUACAAUGUAUUAAGAUUUCUAUCCCAAGAUAGUCUAACUUUUUUUCCUGAAUCUUUUCAUAUCUAGAAAUAAUUACCUGCAAUGACUAUUUUCUGAUUAUUAAGUAGCAAAUGCCAAAGAAAUGAAAUAAGCCGAGUGCAUGCAUGUACAUGUGCAUUGGAGAGAAUGAAAUAAAACAUUUACAAAUUAGAUUAAAAGCAUAUGCAAUUAAUAGCGUAUAGAUACUACAUACCUUUAAACUAUAGACGAGCAGUCUGUAGCGACAGCUUUGGUUAUACAUAGGCUAGCAGUCCUCGCAACAUACAGAAUACAGGAACCCCAACUUAAAAAUAAGACGUGGAGACCUUUUUAUAAACGUUCCAAGAUUCCUCCAGUACAUCAAAUAUUGCUAGAUAGUGUACUGGCUGUGUUUCAUUUUUGCCUUCAUCUGCAUAUUGGCUACAUGGAAGGCAUUGGUGGAAUCUAUGGGAUGCUGCAGUUAUCUAAGGAUAGAGUUUGGCCCCUGCAUUUUAUGCUAUUUUGAUGCACUCUUGUAGUAAUCACACCUUUGCUCCUUCUAGAGUUCUAGGAUAUAGAACUAUUGAUCUGAGUAAUAGGGUAUCUAAAACAUGUUGCUUGGGCAGAUGCAGACAGCAAGCCAAAAGAAAAGAGAACAACAAAAGGAGCACACUCUAUUUUCAAGCUGGUGAGAGGUGGAGCAGGCAGUUGCUGCCUUGUCUGAUGACAGUAUGGUUGUGUCCACUGUAGAGCACAGCUGCCCUCCCUCACAGUUGAAGACUUUUGACAACAGCUUUCUGCCUGGCCUCUGAAUAGAUGGCAAGAGAUUCCUCCAAUCUGUAUGAACAAGACUAGCAAGAAUUUAUCUUAUAUAUUUAUCCACCUGGAAAAAAAGAAAGUUUUAUGGAAUUUAUUUUGUGGUUAAAAAUGUUUUCCAGCUUUAAAAAAAAAUCAGACAUAUUUAUGUUAGUGUUAUAAAACUAGCACACAGUGCCCUAAGUGAAGUACAUGUCAUGUAUAACUUUGAAAUUGUCAUUCUUGCUUUCUGGGAUGCAGAUGUUAAAAUAUUUUCUUCCUUC